AACCAACGGAGCCCCAACCUCGACCGGCCCCAAACCCGUAGUCACCGACGAGGUCCAGAAGGUCUUCAAAGGCUUCGACGCCAGCGGCGAUGGCAAGAUCUCCGUCAACGAGCUCGGCAACGACCUCAAGGCCCUCGGCUCCAACGUCUCCGGCGACAAGCUCAAGCGCGUCAUGGUCGAUCUCGACACCGACAACGAUGGCUUCAUUUGCCUCGACGAGUUCAACGCCUUCUGGGUCUCCGACUCCAAGGACGGCGGCGCCGCUGAGCUCAAAGACGCCUUCGAUCUCUACGACCAGGACCGCAACGGCCUCAUCUCCACCAACGAACUCCACCUGGUGCUCAGCCGCCUCAACUUGGCCUGCACGGUCGAGGAUUGCAACCGGAUGAUCAAGUCCGUCGAUGCCGACGGCGACGGGAAUGUGAAUUUCGAGGAGUUCAAGAAGAUGAUGG
rnacentral:lncRNA from 1 species